rnacentral:rRNA from 1 species
AUGUGACUGCAGGACACAUGAACACCGACACGUUGAACGCAUAUUGCACACCGUACUACAGUACGAUGUACACAUUUUUGAGUGCCUAUAUUUAUCCAUUCAACUGUGCACGCCCCGCGUGUACGCGUAGUGACGUUUUCCUAACCCGCCACCACCACCACCCCCGGUUUGGUAGGACAGUAAAACGUUCAAGAUAGUCAGACGCGGCGGCGCCCAGUGUUCGCCGGCCGCCGCGGUUGAUGAAUACAUCCCAUAUCAUACGACCACAUCACCAUCAUCACCAUCAUGGCCCUGUGUGUCGUUGUUGUUGUAUUCCAUCAUUCCAUCGGAUAUACAUAGAUCCUCCUAUGUAGGCCUCAAAUAAUGUGUGACUACCCCCUAAAUUUAAGCAU